GAUCUUUUGCAUUGUGUACCACAAUAUACUGUCAGAAAUUUUAAAUGUUUUCUUGUGUUUCGCAUCUUGUUUAUGUGUCAUGCAAAGUUCGAAGGUUUCAUAUUAAAAACGAAAGUAGAGUCGGUCACGCCAUGUGUUAUGGGCCGGGGAAACGUUCAGUCUGCCUGGCUUAUAUAUAGGUAGAAAGAUUGAUUUCAGAUGAGAAAUUAUUAAUGUUCAUGGCUACUCAGAACACGGCAGGGAGAAGUUUAUGUUAUGAACAUUUCUUAUCAACAAACCCUGUAAGAAGAAGGACCUCUGUUCUACAGCUUGUGGUGGAUCAUAGAACACAUGAUAUCAACCAAGUUUAAAGGAAGCAUAGAUAGCCACAAUAGAAAGAUUUAAGGAUUGUGAGAAACCAA